CAUGGAAAAGAAUCUGAUUGUUUCUCUGUUUUGCUGUCACUUUGUGUUUUGCGGAGUUAAUCCAAAGAGUUGCUUCAACAAGCAGAACUCAAGGAAACACGGGUGAGGUUACUUUCAGGCUUGGAGACUUCUGAGCUAAAGGAAGUGGGCCAGGGAAGGGCUAGGUGCUCUGACAUUCCAAAUAUAGUCUGCUUGGCCACUGAGGAACAGAGAUUUGUUGCUAGCAACAAGUACUUAGAACGUGUGUGAUUUGGCAUGUCUCGAACUGUGAAGUAGAUGCAAUGCAGGCAGAAAAUCGAUGAUGCUAUGGGGAGGGGCUGUGUAGGGUGUUAAUCGCCAUCUGCAGUGCCUGGAGGUGGGGUGGGGAGAAGUGAAGAAUCUCUUCCUUUUUAAUAGAUUUUCAAGAUGGGAAAAUCAUAUUGCAACCCACAGGCAUUUGGAAACAAUUUGUGCCGAAGACAGAAAGUACACCUAACGUUAAGCUGAAAAAACUGGACGCUCCCAGCAAACUCACUUUGCAGACUCCUGGUUGUCAGAAGAAAACGCCAGAGGAUUUCACUUGGCAUUGACCUCUUACUACUUCCAGCCACUUACCCUGGGCAGUAGAAAGAAGGAACAGAAAGCAGAGUAGAUUAAGAGGAGCAAGUACAAAUGGCGUGGGACUUCAAAUCACCACCUAAGAUUACUUCUUUGAUUUCUGAAAAAGUAGGUCAAAGGAAGAUGUCAGGGGCAAGAAACCAAUUGGGUGUUGUGCCUAAGAACGUGGACCCUGUGGCCAGACUGCUUGGAUCAGUGUCCUCCCUCCACCACUUUGUAGCCAUCUGACCUCAGGCAAGUUACUUCACCUCUCUAUGCCUUGGCUCCUCAUUUAUAAACUGGUGAUAUGAACAGAGCCUGUGUUCUAGGAUUGCUGUGACAAUUACAUAGAAAUGAGUCAACAUGUACAUAGCACACAGAACAAUGCCAGGCACACAGCAAGUGCUAUUUAUGUUCUUCUUUCUUCCUCCUCCUCCUCUUCCUCCUCCUCUUCUUACUUUAUGCCAUUCUGAUAAACACUAUUUUAUUUAUUUUAUAAUUUAGGAACUGAUUCUAAACUACAUUAAGUAAUUUGUUUAAGGUCGAGCAUCUAGUGAGUGUUGGGCACUGUGUUGGAGCUUCAGUCUGUCUGACUUCAAGGCCUGUGCUCCUUUCAAGGUGAGGUGUUUGACACAUCCCCUGCUUGCCAUCCUGGUGGCAUUCUCUCAACCACCAAAGCUUAUGAAAACAUGCCACUCAGGUUAGCUUCCACCGGACACUGACAGAGGAGCAAUUAUACCUCCGCCAAAGAAAAUUCUCAAUGCCAAUAAGGGUUCUGGCUACUGUGGUAUACUUAGAGGAAAUGAAUUUAGGAAGUUUUAAUUAAGAUUUCAAGGAUGAGAAGAGGAAAAUAUGAAGGAGACGGAAUAAAUAUUCUUCUACUUUGAUUGGGAGGGUCAAAAUUCGCUUUCGCUGUCUUAUGAAGGUUGAAGUUCUAGGAUUCAGGAAUAGGAUUCUUUGCUAUUGGGUAUUAAAAAGCAAUAGAGCUCCAAAUAUAUGCAAUCAAUCCAUCCCAUCUUUAGGGAAACCUAAAUCUAAGCCACCUAGUAUAGAGAGCCACUUGUCCUGUGAGUAAAGACUUUUACAAGAUUUAACAGAGAAUAGGAGCAGGAAAGAGACCAACGUAAGGCAGUUGCUAGAACAACAGAAUUGCUUUACAGUUCUGACUUCACAACCUCAUUUUCCUGACCUGAUAGUUCUGAGACGAACUUCUCUGGGUGCAUCUAGAAUCUAUUCCUUCUGUGAGGUGGUCACCAGGCCUGGUGACCUUUUAAGUUUAAUGUAUUAGAGCCAGCUGGGUCUUUGAGCCAGUGGAAGGAGACUGUGUGAACACUUGUAAGCCAUGUGCCUUUGUCCAGUAGCGUUUCAGUGCUACCUAAGCAUCUCUACAGCUAUUGUGUCUGACCUGCUCUGGGGAUUGAAACAUAUAGUUGGAACAGGAGGCAGUGGCUUUUUUUUUUUCUUCGAUAGAUUUCUAAAACCUUUAAAUGAAGUACUGCAUAUAUACAGAAAAGUACAUAGAGCAUAAGUAUAUAGUCCAGUGAGCUAUCACAAAAUGAAUGUACCUGUGUAAGUGCCACUCAGGUUAAAGAAUAGAGCAUUAUCAGCACCCAAGAAACCCACUGAAUAUUCCCUCCAAUUUAUCAUGCUCUUCCUUCUCUCCAAAGGUUACCACUGUCCUGACUUAUAACGCCAUAGGUUAGUUUUAUUUGCAUUUGAGCCACAUAUAAUUAGAAUGAUACAUUCUGUAUUCUUUCAGGUCUGGUGACUUUCACUUACUGUUACAUUUGAAAGUUUUAGUAGAUUUGCAUGUAAUAGGAGUUCAUGUAUUUUUACUGCUGAAUAGUUUUCCAUUCUAUAAAUAUACUAUGAGUUAUUUACCCAUUCAACUGUCCCUUUAAUGGACAUUUAGGUUGUUUAAAAUUUGAGGUUAUUAUGAAUAAUGCUGCCACAAACAUUCUUAUACAUGUCUUUUGUGUAUAUUUCUGUGGGAGUACAUAUCUGCAAGUGGAAUUGCUGAGUCAGAAAGUAUGCAUGUAGUACUCAGCGUUAGAGGAACCUUGCCAAAGAGUUUUCCAAAGUGGAAAUGUGCCAGUUUACGCUUCCACCAACAGUGUGUAUGUUCAAAAUCCUUGCUAACAUUUGGUAUUGUCAGGCUUUUAAAUUAUGAUUGUUCCAAUAGGUGUGUAGUAGCAUGUCAUUGUGGUUUUAAUUUUUAUUUUCCUGAAGACUGAUAAAGUUGAGUACCUUUGGAAAUGUUAAUUGGCAAUUUGGCUACCUUUGGUGAAGUGCCUGAACAUGGCACUGGGUUAUUUGUCUUCCUUAUUAAUUUGUAGUUUUCACUUAUCCUGGACAUGCGUUAUAUGUGUUGCAAAUAAUUUCUCCCACUAUGUGGGUUGCCUCUUCGGUACUUUAAUGGUAUUUUGGGGUGAACAGAACGUCUUAAAAUUAAAGGACCACAAUGUAUCUUUGCCUUUUUGAUUAGGACAUUUUGUGACUAUUUAAAAAUCUUCUAAGAUCAUAAAGAUAUUCUCCCAUGUUAACUUCUAGAACAGGGGUUGGCAAACUAUGGACUGUGAUCCAAAUCCAUUCUGCCAACUGUUUUUGUAAAUAAAGUUUUAUUGGGAUACAGUCAUGCUCAUUCAUUUACACAUCACCCAUGACUACUUUUGUGCUACAACAGACCUUAUGGCACACAAAGCCCAGAAUGUUUAUUCUCUGGCUCUUUACAGAAAAAGUUUGCCAAACCCUCUAGAAGAUUUAUUGUUUUGCCUUUCACAUUUGGAAUGGUAUUUGUGUAUAGUGUGUGAUAGGGAUCAAGAUUUUUUUUCCAUAUGAAUAUGUAAUUGAACCAGUGUCAUUUAUUAAGGGCUUAGCCUUUCCCCAUGAUUCCCUAUGUCAUAAAUCAAAUCAAGUAUACAUAUAUGUGUGGAUCUGUUUCCAGAUUUUCAAUUCUUUUUAUUGGUCCAUUUUUCUAUCCCAUGACCAAUACGACUCUGUUUUACUUGGUGCACUUUUAAAAGUGAGUCACGAUAUCUUCCCACUUCAUUUUUCUUCAAGGUUGUCUCUGUUACUGUUAAGACUUGACAUAUCUGUAUUAGUUUUUGAAUAGGCCUGUCAAUUUCCUCAAAACACCUUCCUGGGAUUUAGAUUGGCAUUAUAUUGAUUCUGUAGAUCAAUUUGGAGAGGUUUGACUUAUUUACAGUGAUGAGAUCCUUCCAGUUCAUAAAAGUGAUGUAUUUUUUAAUUUAUUUAGGUCUUCUUCAAUUUCUUUCAAUAAUAUUUAGACCUGACUUUGAUAUCCUGUACAUAUUUUGAUUGGUUUAUUUCUAGGUAUCUUUGAUGCUAUGAUAAUUUAUGUCAACACUAGCUUUUGUGUAAAAGAAAAAAACUACUAACUAGUCACCUACUGAUAUGGUUUAGCUCUGUGUCCCCAUCCAAAUCUCAUGGCAAAUUGUAAUCCCCAAUGUUGGAGGAGGGGUCUGGUGGGAGGUGAUUUGAUCCUGGGGGCAGAUUUUCCCCCUGCUAUUCUCACAACAGUGAGUUCUCACGUGAUCUAGUUGUUUAGAAGGGUGUAGCACUUACCCCUUCUUAUUCUUCCUCCUUCUCUGGCCAUGUAAGAUGCGCCUCCUUCCUCUUCAUCUUCUACUGAUGAUUGUCAGUUUCCUGAGGCCUCCCAGCCAUGCUCCCUGUGCAGCCUGCAGAAUCAGGAGCCAAU
rnacentral:lncRNA from 1 species